rnacentral:rRNA from 1 species
AUGUGGUUUAAUUCGAAGCAACGCGAAGAACCUUACCUAGGUCUUGACAUCCCGAUGCUAUUUCUAGAGAUAGAAAGUUACUUCGGUACAUCGGUGACAGGUGGUGCAUGGUUGUCGUCAGCUCGUGUCGUGAGAUGUUGGGUUAAGUCCCGCAGCGAGCGCAACCCCUAUUGUUAGUUGCCAUCAUUCAGUUGGGCACUCUAGCGAGACUGCCGGUAAUAAACCGGAGGAAGGUGGGGAUGACGUCAAAUCAUCAUGCCCCUUAUGACCUGGGCUACACACGUGCUACAAUGGUUGGUACAACGAGUUGCGAGUCGGUGACGGCGAGCUAAUCUCUUAAAGCCAAUCUCAGUUCGGAUUGUAGGCUGCAACUCGCCUACAUGAAGUCGGAAUCGCUAGUAAUCGCGGAUCAGCACGCCGCGGUGAAUACGUUCCCGGGCCUU